AACGAACGCUGGCGGCAGGCCUAACACAUGCAAGUCGAGCGAGACCUUCGGGUCUAGCGGCGGACGGGUUAGUAACGCGUGGGAACGUGCCCUUCUCUGCGGAAUAGCCACUGGAAACGGUGAGUAAUACCGCAUACGCCCUUCGGGGGAAAGAUUUAUCGGAGAAGGAUCGGCCCGCGUUAGAUUAGAUAGUUGGUGGGGUAACGGCCUACCAAGUCUACGAUCUAUAGCUGGUUUUAGAGGAUGAUCAGCAACACUGGGACUGAGACACGGCCCAGACUCCUACGGGAGGCAGCAGUGGGGAAUCUUAGACAAUGGGCGCAAGCCUGAUCUAGCCAUGCCGCGUGUGUGAUGAAGGUCUUAGGAUCGUAAAGCACUUUCGCCAGGGAUGAUAAUGACAGUACCUGGUAAAGAAACCCCGGCUAACUCCGUGCCAGCCGCCGCCGUAACAC
rnacentral:rRNA from 1 species